UGACUACAUCGGAUCACCGUUGGUAAUUAUAGCAGCUAAUACAUGCUAAAGAUGCAGACGUCGGGAAUGAGAUGUAUUUAUUAGACUAAACAGCCAAUGCUCUUCGGAGCUAUCUGGUGAGUCAUAAUAACUUCUCGACUCGCACGACCUUGCGCCGGCGAUGUUUCAUUCAAAUUACUGCCCUAUCAACAUUUCGACGGCUGGGUCUUGGCAACACGUGGUGACAACGGGUAACGGAGAGUUAGGGCUCGACCCCGGAGAAGGAGCCUGAGAAACGGCUACUACAUCCAAGGAAGGCAGCAGGCGCGCAAAUUACCCAAUCCCGACACGGGGAGGUAGUGACAAUAAAUACUGAUACAGGGCUCUUUCGGGUCUUGUAAUUGGAAUGAGUACAAUUUAAAUCCCUUAACGAGGAACAAUUGGAGGGCAAGUCUGGUGCCAGCAGCCGCGGUAAUUCCAGCUCCAAUAGUGUAUAUUAAAGUUGUUGAGGUUAAAAAGCUCGUAGUUGAACCUUGGGCCUAGCCGGCCGGUCCGCCUCACCGCGUGCACUGGCUCGGCUGGGUCUUUCCUUCUGGAGAACCGCAUGCCCUUCACUGGGUGUGCUGGGGAACCAGAACUUUUACUCUGAAUAAAUUAGAUCGCUUAAAGAAGGCCUAUGCUCGAAUACAUUAGCAUGGAAUAAUAGAAUAGGACGUGUGGUUAUAUUUUGUUGGUUUCUAGGACCGCCGUAAUGAUUAAUAGGGACAGUCGGGGGCAUCAGUAUUCAAUUGUCAGAGGUGAAAUUCUUGGAUUUAUUGAAGACUAACUACUGCGAAAGCAUUUGCCAAGGAUGUUUUCAUUAAUCAGGAACGAAAGUUAGGGGAUCGAAGACGAUCAGAUACCGUCGUAGUCUUAACCAUAAAAUACGCCGACUAGGGAUCA
rnacentral:rRNA from 1 species